rnacentral:rRNA from 1 species
AUUGAACGCUGGCGGCAGGCCUAACACAUGCAAGUCGAACGGUAACAGGAAGAAGCUUGCUUCCUUGCUGUCGCGUGGCGGACGUGUGUGUCAUGUCUGUGACACUGCUUGAUGGAGGGGGUUACCUACUGGAACCGGUGGCUAUUACCGCAUAUCGUUUCAAGCCCAAAAAGGAGGACCUUCGGGCCUCUUUCCAUCGGCUUUGCCCUGAUGGGAUUAGCUAGUAGGUGGGGUAACGGCUCACCAAGGCGACGAUCCCUAGCUGGUCUGAGAGGAUGACCGGCCACACUGGAACUGAGACACGGUCCAGACUCCUACGGGAGGCAGCAGUGGGGAAUAUUGCGCAAUGGGCGCAAGCCUGAUGGAGCCAUGCCGCGUGUAUGAAGAAGGCCUUCGGGUUGUAAAGCACUUUCAGCGGGGAGGAAGGAAGGAAAGUUAAUACAUUCGCUCAUUGACGUUACCCGAAGAAGAAGCAACGGCUAACUACGUG